rnacentral:lncRNA from 1 species
CAUCAGUAAAACAAAAAUAAAGACAAAAACAAAAACAAUAAAGCAUUAGUAACUCCAGCAGAAAUAGCGUAAGUAGCGUAAAUAAUUAUCUAAACAUACAAAACAUAAAUACAAUCACCUGCAAUAAUAUCAUACAGUAACUACCAUAACUAACAGCGAUAGGGGGGACAUAAGCUAAAACAAAAAUCAUCUAUGGGUAACCCUGCUGACCCACUCCCAACCCCGGAUGAGGCGUACGAAAAACACUAGGAGCCCCUAUCCUAC